UCCAGACUCCUACGGGAGGCAGCAGUGAGGAAUAUUGGUCAAUGGGCGGAAGCCUGAACCAGCCAAGUCGCGUGAGGGAAGAAGGCCCUGCGGGUCGCAGACCUCUUUGGACGGGGAGCAAGGCCGCCGACGUGUCGGCGGAAGGAGAGUACCCGUAGAACAAGCAUCGGCUAACUCCGUGCCAGCAGCCGCGGUAAUACGUAGGGGGCGAGCGUUGUCCGGAAUUACUGGGUGUAAAGGGAGCGUAGGCGGGGAUGCAAGUUGGGUGUCAAAACUACCGGCUCAACUGGUAGUCGCACUCAAAACUGCAGCUCUUGAGUGAAGUAGAGGCAGGCGGAAUUCCUAGUGUAGCGGUGAAAUGCGUAGAUAUUAGGAGGAACACCAGUGGCGAAGGCGGCCUGCUGGGCUUUUACUGACGCUGAGGCUCGAAAGUGUGGGGAGCAAACAGGAUUAGAUACCCGUGUAU
rnacentral:rRNA from 1 species